UGCGCACGUGGUCGGCGUCGGUCAGCGGCAGCUUGCGCUUGUCGCCGAACGCGAACACCGACUCGGGCAGGCGGUUCUUGUCCGCCGUGCUCAGC
rnacentral:tRNA from 1 species